rnacentral:rRNA from 1 species
UACGGGAGGCAGCAGUGGGGAAUAUUGCACAAUGGGCGCAAGCCUGAUGCAGCCAUGCCGCGUGUAUGAAGAAGGCCUUCGGGUUGUAAAGUACUUUCAGUCGUGAGGAAGGUGUUAAGGUUAAUAACCUUAGCAAUUGACGUUAGCGACAGAAGAAGCACCGGCUAACUCCGUGCCAGCAGCCGCGGUAAUACGGAGGGUGCGAGCGUUAAUCGGAAUUACUGGGCGUAAAGGGCACGCAGGCGGUUAAUUAAGUUGGAUGUGAAAUCCCCGGGCUUAACCUGGGAAUGGCAUUCAAGACUGGUUAGCUAGAGUCUUGUAGAGGGGGUUAGAAUUCCAUGUGUAGCGGUGAAACUGCGUAGAGAUGUGGAGGAAUACCGGUGGCGAAGGCGGCCCCUGGGACAAAGACUGACGCUCAUGUGCGAAAGCGUGGGGAGCGAAACAGGAUUAGAUACCCGU